AGGACGAACGCUGGCGGCGUGCUUAACACAUGCAAGUCGAACGAGGUUUAUGGAAGAGCUUGCUCGGAAAUAAACCGAGUGGCGGACGGGUGAGUAACGCGUGAGCAACCUGUCUCACACAGGGGAAUAACGCAUCGAAAGAUGUGCUAAUACCGCAUAGGACCACGGGAGGGCAUCCUUCCGAGGUGAAAGGAGCAAUCCGGUGUGAGGUGGGCUCGCGUCUGAUUAGAUAGUUGGUGGGGUAACGGCCUACCAAGUCAACGAUCAGUAGCCGACCUGAGAGGGUGAUCGGCCACAUUGGGACUGAGACACGGCCCAGACUCCUACGGGAGGCAGCAGUGGGGAAUAUUGGGCAAUGGGCGAAAGCCCUGACCCAGCAACGCCGCGUGAAGGAAGAAGGUUUUCGGAUCGUAAACUUCUGUCCUUGGUGAAGAUCAUGACGGUAGCCAAGGAGGAAGCCCCGACUAACUACGUGCCAGCCGCCGC
rnacentral:rRNA from 1 species